rnacentral:lncRNA from 1 species
UUAAAAUAUAUUUUUUUAUUAUGUUUACAUUUUUUUUUUUAUUAUGCUCAUAUUUUUUUCAUUUUCUAUAGAAGUUAGACAUUUCAAUUUUAGAGCUAAAACAAAAAACCAUAACAAAAUUUUAUCAUUUUAUGUUUUGGGUAUUAAUUUGCCAAGCAUAUGUUUUAGUACCCUUCUCUUAUUUUUAUAUACAAAAUAAAAGUUUAUAUAAAAACGAAUUUGAUGACAAUAUUAGUGUUUGUGAAAAUGUGAUUGAGUCUUUUGGAAAAAUGACAAAAGGAAAGGAGCUUGAAUAUAUUGUAGAUUUAUUGGAUAUUAAACAUGCUGGUGAAUCUGCUAUUUUAUUUUUGAUGGGAUGUGUGAUGUUAAUAGGUGUAUCAUUUUGGGUUACAUAUACGAGUCAUGGACUAGCUUGUUUACCCUUAGCUUUUUUGCAUCACGAAAAUCUUGAACAGUGUAAAAAAGAAAUAGAAGAUCGUUUUAAUAGGCUUAAGGAAAAAGAAAUGUUGAUAAAGAGUAAAUAUACACCACAGAAUGAAAUAAAACAAAAUGAUAAAAAUGAAAUUGUCAAAAUUGAAAAAAUGAAAAAAAUACUAAGUAAAUACAAUUAUAAAUUGCAAGAAAAGGAAAAAAUAUACGAAUCCUGGUUAUCUUAUGUGUUGGGACUUGUGUUUACAUUUAGGUAAAAUAUAUAUAUAUGUAUAUAUACAUAUCUAUAUUUAUGUGUGCAUAUGUACAUAUAUAUAUAAACAUACAAUACAUACGAUAAACUAAAAUAUACCAAUUUUUUUAUUAUGCUUUAAGAAUUAUAAUAGGUAUAAUAUUUCUCACUUUUUCAUUUACCAUAUACAUAUCUUUGUUAUCCUCAAUAGUGGAUAAAGUAAGAAAGAGCAUAUGAAAAAAAUGAACAAAAAAAAUGAACAAAAAAAAUG